rnacentral:rRNA from 1 species
AACGAGCGCUGGCGGCAGGCUUAACACAUGCAAGUCGAACGAGAUCUUCGGAUCUAGUGGCAGACGGGUGAGGAACACGUGGGAACAUCCCUUUCAGUUCGGAAUAACGUUGGGAAACUAACGCUAAUACCGGAUACGUCCUUCGGGAGAAAGAUUUAUCGCUGAAAGAUUGGCCCGCGUCUGAUUAGCUAGUUGGUGAGGGAAUGGCUCACCAAGGCUACGAUCAGUAGCUGAGCUGAGAGGAUAAUCAGCCACAUUGGGACUGAGACACGGCCCAAACUCCUACGGGAGGCAGCAGUGGGGAAAAUUGGACAAUGGGCGCAAGCCUGAUCCAGCCAUGCCGCGUGAGUGAUGACGGCCUUCGGGUUGUAAAGCUCUUUUGUCCGGGAAGAUAAUGACUGUACCGGAAGAAUAAGCCCCGGCAAACUUCGUGCCAGCAGCCGCUGUAA